GUGCUUACACAUGCAAGUCGAACGGUGAAGAGAAGCUUGCUUCUUGGAUCAGUGGCGAACGGGUGAGUAACACGUGAGCAAUCUGCCCUUGACUCUGGGAUAAGCGUUGGAAACGACGUCUAAUACCGGAUACGACCCUCGGAGGCAUCUCCUGGGGGUGGAAAGAAUUUUGGUCAAGGAUGAGCUCGCGGCCUAUCAGCUAGUUGGUGAGGUAAUGGCUCACCAAGGCGACGACGGGUAGCCGGCCUGAGAGGGUGACCGGCCACACUGGGACUGAGACACGGCCCAGACUCCUACGGGAGGCAGCAGUGGGGAAUAUUGCACAAUGGGCGAAAGCCUGAUGCAGCAACGCCGCGUGAGGGACGAAGGCCUUCGGGUUGUAAACCUCUUUUAGUAGGGAAGAAGCGAAAGUGACGGUACCUGCAGAAAAAGCACCGGCUAACUACGUGCCAGCAGCCGCGGUAAUACGUAGGGUGCAAGCGUUGUCCGGAAUUAUUGGGCGUAAAGAGCUCGUAGGCGGUUUGUCGCGUCUGCUGUGAAAACCCGAGGCUCAACCUCGGGCCUGCAGUGGGUACGGGCAGACUAGAGUGCGGUAGGGGAGAUUGGAAUUCCUGGUGUAGCGGUGGAAUGCGCAGAUAUCAGGAGGAACACCAAUGGCGAAGGCAGAUCUCUGGGCCGUAACUGACGCUGAGGAGCGAAAGCAUGGGGAGCGAACAGGAUUAGAUACCCUGGUAGUCCAUGCCGUAAACGUUGGGAACUAGAUGUGGGGACCAUUCCACGGUCUCCGUGUCGCAGCUAACGCAUUAAGUUCCCCGCCUGGGGAGUACGGCCGCAAGGCUAAAACUCAAAGGAAUUGACGGGGGCCCGCACAAGCGGCGGAGCAUGCGGAUUAAUUCGAUGCAACGCGAAGAACCUUACCAAGGCUUGACAUAUAGAGGAAACGGCUGGAAACAGUCGCCCCGCAAGGUCUCUAUACAGGUGGUGCAUGGUUGUCGUCAGCUCGUGUCGUGAGAUGUUGGGUUAAGUCCCGCAACGAGCGCAACCCUCGUCCUAUGUUGCCAGCACGUAAUGGUGGGAACUCAUGGGAUACUGCCGGGGUCAACUCGGAGGAAGGUGGGGAUGACGUCAAAUCAUCAUGCCCCUUAUGUCUUGGGCUUCACGCAUGCUACAAUGGCCGGUACAAAGGGCUGCAAUACCGUAAGGUGGAGCGAAUCCCAAAAAGCCGGUCUCAGUUCGGAUUGAGGUCUGCAACUCGACCUCAUGAAGUCGGAGUCGCUAGUAAUCGCAGAUCAGCAACGCUGCGGUGAAUACGUUCCCGGGCCUUGUACACACCGCCCGUCAAGUCAUGAAAGUCGGUAACACCCGAAGCCAGUGGCCUAACCGCAAGGAAGGAGC
rnacentral:rRNA from 1 species